ensembl:rRNA 5S_rRNA 5S ribosomal RNA
GCCUGUGGUCACACCAUCCUCAACAUGCUCUAUUUCAUCUCAUCUCAGAAGCUAAGCAGCAUUGGGCCCAGUUAGUACUUGGAUGGGAGACUGCUUGGGAAUACUGAGUCCAGGUGUUGUAGGCU